rnacentral:rRNA from 1 species
UACAGAGGGUGCGAGCGUUAAUCGGAAUUACUGGGCGUAAAGCGUGCGUAGACGGUUAUUUAAGUCGGGUGUGAAAGCCCCGGGCUCAACCUGGGAAUUGCAUUCGAGACUGAAUAGCUAGGGUACGGUAGAGGGAAGUGGAAUUUCCGGUGUAGCGGUGAAAUGCGUAGAGAUGUGGAGGAAUACCGAUGGCGAAGGCAGCCCCCUGGGAUAACACUGACGCUCAUGCACGAAAGCGUGGGGAGCAAACAGG